AACAGUGUGUAUAGGCUAGAACUUUCAGUUUGCAUUUUAGGGUCAUGACGGCUUUCCCGUUGCUGUCAACAAACUUUAACCUUUUUCAUAACUUUUCAGAUCUUGGUGUAUUGUCUUCAUACUUGGCCACAACAACCCUUCAAAUAGACCAGACUAAACUUGACCUCCAUAUAAACAUUCAAGAUGGUCGGCCUACAUGUCAGAUUUGUGAAUGUGAACGGCAGGAUAUCGAUUUUAAGGAUGCUUUAGGGUCAAUGAGGAUGAAAUCAAGAGAGAUAAAGGCUAAAAUGUGAGACUGUCAAUCUGACAAACCUUGCAGUGAAUAAAUGGAAACAGAGAGGCGUUUGUAUGAUAGAACAGUAAUAGCAGGAGUGAUAAGGACAGAUGCAUGUAGAUGUGUCUUCAUGUCGGAAACACUACCAGAGAAAUUGAAAUAUUUGGGUUUUUCAAAACUUACAAGAAAUUGGAAUACCAGGAGACUGCUUGCCCUUUGCAAUGUUGGAUGAUAUGAUGUCGAAAGCCUCAUGAAUAUAGUAACUUGACUUAAUCUAAUUAGAAAAAGAAUUGACAUUGAGGAGAAAACCAGUCACCAGUCUUUCACCAAGAACAUGAGAUAACUUUCGAAUAUUUGAAAUAUCAUAAUAUGUAUAGAACUUUAAUGAGCCAACAGUUUUUCACCAGGAAAAUAAGAUCACUUAUCUAUUUUUGAGAUAUGUAUGAACAGAACUCUAUCAACUUCAAUGUGAGAGUUUAUCACGAAGAACAUGAGAUAACCUAUGUAUGAACAGAACCACAUUUGUAUAUAGAGGCGCCAGUUCAUCACCAAGAAGAUGAGCUAACUUAUCAAUGUUUGAAAUCUGUUAUACCCCCGCACAACAAAGUUGUAAGGGGAGUAUACUGGAAUCAGCUUGUCCGGCCGACAGGAGUUCGUCAGUUUUUUCUUGUCCGUCCAAUAACUUAAGAUUCCUUUGACCCACAGUCUUCAUAUUUGGCAUGGAGGUAAGUCAUGAUUAGUAGAUGACAUCUGUUAAUUUUGAGAACACCAAGUCAAAGGUCAAGGUCACAGGGUCUUGACUGAAGAAAGCUUUUCUGCCCAAUAACUUAAGAAUCCUUCGACCCACAGUCUUCAUUUUUGGCAUGGAGGUUAGUCAUGAUUAGUAGAUGACCCCUAUUUAUUUUCAGGUCACCAGGUCUAAGGUCAUGGUCACAGGGGCCUUGGCUAAUGAAAGCUUGUCCACCCAAUUACCUAAGAAUCCUUUGACCCGUAGUC